rnacentral:rRNA from 1 species
GUGGGGAAUAUUGCGCAAUGGGCGAAAGCCUGACGCAGCGACGCCGCGUGAGGGAUGAAGGUUUUCGGAUCGUAAACCUCUGUCAGAAGGGAAGAAACUACAUUGUGCUAAUCAGCAGUGUACUGACGGUACCUUCAAAGGAAGCACCGGCUAACUCCGUGCCAGCAGCCGCGGUAAUACGGGGGGUGCAAGCGUUAAUCGGAAUUACUGGGCGUAAAGCGAACGUAGGCUGUAGUGUAAGUCAGGGGUGAAAUCCCACGGCUCAACCGUGGAACUGCCUUUGAUACUGCACAACUUGAAUCCGGGAGAGGGUGGCGGAAUUCCAGGUGUAGGAGUGAAAUCCGUAGAUAUCUGGAGGAACAUCAGUGGCGAAGGCGGCCACCUGGACCGGUAUUGACGCUGAGGUGCGAAAGCGUGGGGAGCAAACAGGAUUAGAAACCCGGGUAGUCC